rnacentral:rRNA from 1 species
CUGAGUGGAUUUCCGUUAAGGAGUACUUUUGGCACCUCUAAAAAUGGUGCAGAAUAAGGGGUGGGCAAGUCUGGUGUCAGCCGCCGCGGUAAUACCAGCACCCCGAGUGGUCGGGACGUUUAUUGGGCCUAAAGCAUCCGUAGCCGGUUCUACAAGUCUUCCGUUAAAUCCACCUGCUUAACAGAUGGGCUGCGGAAGAUACUAUAGAGCUAGGAGGCGGGAGAGGCAAGCGGUACUCGAUGGGUAGGGGUAAAAUCCGUUGAUCCAUUGAAGACCACCAGUGGCGAAGGCGGCUUGCCAGAACGCGCUCGACGGUGAGGGAUGAAAGCUGGGGGAGCAAACCGGAUUAGAUACCCGGGUAGUCCCAGCUGUAAACGAUGCAGACUCGGUGAUGAGUUGGCUUAUUGCUAACUCAGUGCCGCAGGGAAGCCGUUAAGUUUGCCGCCUGGGGAGUACGGUCGCAAGACUGAAACUUAAAGGAAUUGGCGGGGGGAGCACA